rnacentral:rRNA from 1 species
UACGGGGGGGGCAAGCGUUGUUCGGAAUUACUGGGCGUAAAGGGCUCGUAGGCGGCCAACUAAGUCAGACGUGAAAUCCCUCGGCUUAACCGGGGAACUGCAUCUGAUACUGUCGGGCUCGAGUCCGGAAGAGGCGAGUGGAAUUCCUGGUGUAGCGGUGGAAUGCGCAGAUAUCAGGAGGAACACCGAUGGCGAAGGCAGCUCGCUGGGACGGUACUGACGCUGAGGCGCGAAAGCGUGGGGAGCAAACAGG